GUCCAUCUAAAGUGCUGGAACUUCCCACUACAUCUCUUGGUCAAUAUAGCAAUCAAUAUAGUUGGGUAAAAAGGUUUGAGGUGUCUACUGCUAAGUGGAAGUUACAGGAUGCUGAAGCCCCCAGAUGUCUCACAAUGUCCUUAUUGGCUAGAGGAAAUGAAAAACCACAUAGAUGAAUCAGCGGGAUGAGGAGUCCAAAGAUCUACUUCUAUGAUUGUAAAAUCAACAAGACAAUUCAUGGUUUUCUCUUA